GACGAACGCUGGCGGCGUGCCUAACACAUGCAAGUCGAGCGAGUGGAGUUCUUCGGAACAAAGCUAGCGGCGGACGGGUGAGUAACACGUGGGCAACCUGCCUCAUAGAGGGGAAUAGCCUCCCGAAAGGGAGAUUAAUACCGCAUAAGAUUGUAGCUUCACAUGAAGUAGCAAUUAAAGGAGCAAUCCGCUAUGAGAUGGGCCCGCGGCGCAUUAGCUAGUUGGUGAGGUAACGGCUCACCAAGGCGACGAUGCGUAGCCGACCUGAGAGGGUGAUCGGCCACAUUGGGACUGAGACACGGCCCAGACUCCUACGGGAGGCAGCAGUGGGGAAUAUUGCACAAUGGGGGAAACCCUGAUGCAGCAACGCCGCGUGAGUGAUGACGGCCUUCGGGUUGUAAAGCUCUGUCUUCAGGGACGAUAAUGACGGUACCUGAGGAGGAAGCCACGGCUAACUACGUGCCAGCCGCCGCGGUAA
rnacentral:rRNA from 1 species